rnacentral:rRNA from 1 species
AUGUGCACUGCAACUCCGCAGUCUGCAAGUGCCAGGUGCUGUUUGGUCAAUAUGAUUGUUGGGGGUGGCUAUUUUGAAGGUUCCCAUGAUCAUAAUCUCAUGCCGGGAUCUUUAAUAAAACCUGACUUUGCAAAUGAGAGGCAGAGGAGGGAAUGGAUGAAUGUAGCGUUCUGGGCUUUAAGAAUCCUCCUCCCCGAUCCCAAGGACGACAGGGUCUCAAAUGUAGAGGAUGCCAUUGAAUACAUACAUGAGCUGAACCGGACAGUGAAGGAACUGAAGAUCCUAGUAGAACAGAAGAGGCAUGGGACUAAUAGGAAAAAGAUGAUAAAGAUGGACGAAGAGGCAGCUUCCGAUGGCGAGAACUCAUCGACGAUGCCAGUGAGGGAUGAGCAAGACAAUGAGCUCGAUUGGGCCAUAAGGAGCUCCUGGGUGCAGAGGAGGUCCCAGGAAUGCCGUGUUGAUGUCCACAUAGUGGAAAAUGCAGUAAACGUCCAGCUCACUGAAUGGAAGAACGCCAACUCCCUGCCUCAUGCCGCGAAGGUUCUCGACGAGUUCCAUCUUGAGAUCAUCAGCGUGGUCGGACAGAUUGUUGGCGAUCACCGCAUAUUCAUCUUCAACACUAAGGUAUCUGAAGGCUGCUCGGUGUAUGCCCUUGCAGUGGCCGAGAGGCUCUUUCAAGCAGUUGAUGCACAGCACCAGGCCCUCAACAUACUCGGCCAGGCUCUAGCAACCAAACUGACUAUCUGA